rnacentral:lncRNA from 1 species
CUACACUUGUUGUGCGAACAAUAGUGUCUUCUAGAUGGUUCCAAUUUACUAUUGUGGACACAAAGAAUGAAUUUGAAUGUUGCGGUGUUUUACUAGUAGGAAUGUCAAAACACCUGGUAUUGUUCCUAACUUGUUUUUCAACAAUGUUUGUGGCUUGAUAGUUGUCAAACUUUUUAGCUGUGAUGUUUUGUCUUGGUCUUGCUGAUUUUAGGAAGUCGUCUGGAUCAAUAGCAGGAACCAGCCCCUCAACCACCUUGUACAAAAAUAUAAGCUUUUGGCUCGUGCGUCUCAAUUGUAGUUCCUGUAGCUCUAAUUUUGUUAGCAUGUUUGUUAUGUAGCCAUCUUCUCUAGUUCUGUAAUUGCCUGUUAUAAAGCGUUCUGCUUGUCUUUGUAUUCGUUCUAGCUUGUUUGAGUCUGCAAUACUAUAGGGGUCCCAUACUGUUGCUGCAUAUUCCAUUGUAGAUCUUAC